CAAGCGAAAGCAUUAAGUAUUCCACCUGGGGAGUACGCCGGCAACGGUGAAACUCAAAGGAAUUGACGGGGGCCCGCACAAGCGGAGGAACAUGUGGUUUAAUUCGAUGAUACGCGAGGAACCUUACCCGGGCUUAAAUUGCACCUGAAUAAUGUGGAAACAUGUUAGCCGUAAGGCAGGUGUGAAGGUGCUGCAUGGUUGUCGUCAGCUCGUGCCGUGAGGUGUCGGCUUAAGUGCCAUAACGAGCGCAACCCUUAUCUUCAGUUACUAACAGGUCAUGCUGAGGACUCUGGAGAGACUGCCGUCGUAAGAUGUGAGGAAGGUGGGGAUGACGUCAAAUCAGCACGGCCCUUACGUCCGGGGCUACACACGUGUUACAAUGGGAGGUACAGAAGGCCGCUACCUGGCGACAGGAUGCCAAUCCCCAAAACCUCUCUCAGUUCGGAUCGAAGUCUGCAACCCGACUUCGUGAAGCUGGAUUCGCUAGUAAUCGCGCAUCAGCCAUGGCGCGGUGAAUACGUUCCCGGGCCUUGCACUCACCGCCCGUC
rnacentral:rRNA from 1 species